UACGAAGGUCCCGAGCGUUGUUCGGAUUUACUGGGCGUAAAGAGUCUGUAGGCGGUUAGGUAAGUCAGGUGUGAAAUCCCAGAGCUCAACUCUGGAACUGCACCCGAUACUGCUUGACUAGAGUAUUGGAGGGGAAACUGGAAUUCUCGGUGUAGCAGUGAAAUGCGUAGAUAUCGAGAGGAACACUAGUGGCGAAGGCGAGUUUCUGGACAAUUACUGACGCUGAGAGACGAAGGCCAGGGGAGCGAAAAGG
rnacentral:rRNA from 1 species